rnacentral:rRNA from 1 species
UACGUAGGGUGCAAGCGUUAAUCGGAAUUACUGGGCGUAAAGCGUGCGCAGGCGGUUCGUUAAGUUCGUCGUGAAAAGCCCCGGGCUCAACCUGGGAACUGCGAUGGAAACUGGCGGGCUUGAGUGUGGCAGAGGGGGGGUGGAAGUUCCGCGUGUAGCAGUGAAAUGCGCAGAUAUCGGGAGGAACACCGAUGGCGAAGGCAGGUCUCUGGGCCACUACGUGACGCUGAGAAGCGAAAGCAUGGGGAGCGAACAGG